AUGCAAGUCGAACGCGAAAGUCCUUCGGGAUGAGUAGAGUGGCGGACGGGUGAGUAACGCGUAGGAAUCUGUCCGGUAGUGGGGGAUAACGUUCCGAAAGGAACGCUAAUACCGCAUACGCCCUACGGGGGAAAGGGGGGGAUCUUCGGACCUUCCGCUAUCGGGGGAGCCUGCGUCGGAUUAGCUAGUUGGUAGGGUAAAGGCCUACCAAGGCGACGAUCCGUAGCUGGUCUGAGAGGAUGAUCAGCCACACCGGAACUGAGACACGGUCCGGACUCCUACGGGAGGCAGCAGUGGGGAAUAUUGCGCAAUGGGCGAAAGCCUGACGCAGCCAUGCCGCGUGUGUGAAGAAGGCCUUCGGGUUGUAAAGCACUUUUAGUGGGGAGGAAAGGGCGCUGGCUAAUAUCCAGCGCAGUUGACGCUACCCACAGAAAAAGCACCGGCUAAUUCCGUGCCAGCAGCCGCGGUAAUACGGAGGAGGCGAGCGUUAUCCGGAAUUAUUGGGCGUAAAGCGUCCGCAGGCGGUUUAUCAAGUCUGCUGUCAAAGACUACAGCUUAACUGUGGGCAGGCAGUGGAAACUGAUGAACUAGAGAGCGGUAGGGGUAGAGGGAAUUCCCGGUGUAGCGGUGAAAUGCGUAGAUAUCGGGAAGAAC
rnacentral:rRNA from 1 species